ACUUCUAGCUUUGGCCAAUAACCAGUCUCAAUCAUCAAAGCAUGCUGAAAUUACCAAAAUGCACGAUAUUGAAAGAUUAGAGAAAGUAAAGCUGUUGGAAACCAGAUAGCUGAACCAGCUUUUAACUACUAUAUGAACAUGAGAAAAUGAGCAUGAGAAAUCAAGGAAACUAAAGGAAUGGAUAGUUGAGAGACACACCUCAAAAAGGAUCUAGAAAAGAGAGUAUCUCAUCCUCUUAUUUUCAUUUCGUCUUCUUUUCAGCUCAAAUUCAUCAUCGAAAAUGUAAGUAGCUCUCUUUUAUUAUAUCGAAAUUAUUCAUGUAAUUCAUCUUUACUUUUUAUUUUUGGUUCUAAUCUUGUUUACUCUAUCUCCUUUGGAUUACUCUUUUUCUUCUGUGAGUUUUCUCUUCUUUUUCUUUAGUUAUUUUUUGAAUUUUUUUGUUUUGAUUGAUGAAUAGUUGCGAUAUUUGGAGUAUGUGAUGUUAUAAACUGAUAUUUCAUGGAAAAAAAAUUUAAAUUAAAA